rnacentral:rRNA from 1 species
UACGUAGGGUGCAAGCGUUGUCCGGAAUCAUUGGGCGUAAAGAGCGCGUAGGCGGCCCUGUAAGUCCGCUGUGAAAGUCAAGGGCUCAACCCUUGAAUGCCGGUGGAUACUGCAGGGCUAGAGUCCGGAAGAGGCGAGUGGAAUUCCUGGUGUAGCGGUGAAAUGCGCAGAUAUCAGGAGGAACACCGAUGGCGAAGGCAGCUCGCUGGGACGUUACUGACGCUGAGACGCGAAAGCGUGGGGAGCAAACAGG